rnacentral:misc_RNA from 1 species
GAUGAAGAACGUAGCGAAAUGCGAUACGUAAUGUGAAUUGCAGAAUUCAGUGAAUCAUCGAGUCUUUGAACGCACAUUGCGCCCCCUGGUAUUCCGGGGGGCAUGCCUGUCCGAGCGUCAUUGCUGCCCUCAAGCACGGCUUGUGUGUUGGGCCUCCGUCCUCCUCCCGGGGGACGGGCCCGAAAGGCAGCGGCGGCACCGCGUCCGGUCCUCGAGCGUAUUGGGCUUCGUCACCCGCUCUUGUAGGCCCGGCCGGCGCUUGCCGACACAUCAAUCUUUUUUCCAGGUUGACCUCGGAUCAGGUAGGGAUACCCGCUGAACUUAAGCAUAUCAAUAAGCGGAGGA